AAGACUAUACUUUCAGGGAUCAUUUCUAUAGUGUGUGACUGAGGAAUGCGUUUUGAAAGUGUUUGGUCUCGCUGCCCACGAUGACGAGAUAGUGCAUCCCUUUCUGAGCGUGACGCGGAUAGAGAAUAUUGGUUUUUAAUCAGCAGUUCUCUAUCAUAGAUGACCGUUCCGCUUCUGCAGAGAAUGUGGAGGACGGUGGAUGUGUUCUGAGUGGU